rnacentral:rRNA from 1 species
UACGUAGGGUGCGAGCGUUGUCCGGAAUUAUUGGGCGUAAAGGGCUCGUAGGCGGUCUGUUGCGUCGGGAGUGAAAACUCAGGGCUUAACCCUGAGCCUGCUUCCGAUACGGGCAGACUAGAGGUAUGCGGGGGAGAACGGAAUUCCUGGUGUAGCGGUGAAAUGCGCAGAUAUCAGGAGGAACACCGGUGGCGAAGGCGGCGAUCUGGGUCGAUACUGACGCUGAGGUGCGAAAGCGUGGGGAGCAAACAGG